GAGUUUGAUCAUGGCUCAGGAUGAACGCUAGCGACAGGCUAACACAUGCAAGUCGAGGGGCAGCAUGGGCAUAGCAAUAUGCCCGAUGGCGACCGGCGCACUGGUGAGUAACACGUAUGCAACCUGCCCUUCCAGGGGGAUAACCCAGAGAAAUUUGGCCUAAUACCCCGUAGUCCGCGUGAGGGCAUCCUCGCGCGGGGAAAGCUCCGGCGGGAAGGGAUGGGCAUGCGGCGCAUUAGCUGGUUGGCGGGGCGACGGCCCACCAAGGCGACGAUGCGUAGGGGUUCUGAGAGGAAGGUCCCCCACACUGGUACUGAGACACGGACCAGACUCCUACGGGAGGCAGCAGUGAGGAAUAUUGGUCAAUGGGCGCAGGCCUGAACCAGCCCAAGUCGCGUGCGGGAAGACGGCCCUACGGGUUGUAAACCGCUUUAGCGGGGGAGUAACGCGCGGCACGCGUGCCGCCUUGAGAGUACCCCGAGAAUAAGCAUCGGCUAACUCCGUGCCAGCCGCCGC
rnacentral:rRNA from 1 species